CCUACGGGUGGCAGCAGUGAGGAAUAUUGGUCAAUGGGCGAGAGCCUGAACCAGCCAAGUCGCGUGAGGGAAGACGGUCCUAUGGAUUGUAAACCUCUUUUGCCGGGGAGCAAAAAGCGGUACGUGUACCGCAUCGAGAGUACCCGGAGAAAAAGCAUCGGCUAACUCCGUGCCAGCAGCCGCGGUAAUACGGAGGAUUCGAGCGUUAUCCGGAUUUAUUGGGUUUAAAGGGUGCGUAGGCUGUCGGAUAAGUUAGAGGUCAAAUGUCGGGGCUUAACCCCGUGCCUGCCUCUGAUACUGUUCGACUAGAGGGCGGAUGCAGCAGGCGGAAUGAGUAGUGUAGCGGUGAAAUGCUUAGAUAUUACGCAGAACACCGAUUGCGCAGGCAGCUUGCUAAUCCGCAUCUGACGCUGAUGCACGAAAGCGUGGGUAGCGAACAGGAUUAGAUACCCUUGUAGUC
rnacentral:rRNA from 1 species